AAGGAGUAAAAGAACAGUACAUUAUUAGUACUGUCCAUAUGCCAAGUAACGAGCUCAUUGCACUGCAUCCCUUUAGACAGAUGCUCGAACUGAUGGGCGAAAUGAAUUGUGUCAACAAAUCUUGACAAAGAAGCUUGAAGAGAGCUAGUAUUAAUUGAUUGUAAGUUCCAUUUCUACCUGCUACUUACCUUCAAAUUAUUUUUCAUCCUUAUGUUUCCAUACA
rnacentral:lncRNA from 1 species